UACGUAGGGUCCGAGCGUUGUCCGGAAUUACUGGGCGUAAAGAGCUCGUAGGUGGUUUGUCGCGUUGUUCGUGAAAACUCACAGCUUAACUGUGGGCGUGCGGGCGAUACGGGGCAGACUGGAGUACUGCAGGGGAGACUGGAAUUCCUGGUGUAGCGGUGGAAUGCGCAGAUAGUCAGGAGGAACACCGGUGGCGAAGGCGGGGUCUCUGGGCAGUAACUGACGCUGAGGAGCGAAAGCGUGGGGAGCGAACAGG
rnacentral:rRNA from 1 species